UACGUAGGGUGCGAGCGUUAAUCGGAAUUACUGGGCGUAAAGCGUGCGCAGGCGGUUGUGCAAGACAGAUGUGAAAUCCCGGGCUCAACCUGGGAACUGCAUUUGUGACUGCACGGCUGGAGUGCGGCAGAGGGGGAUGGAAUUCCGCGUGUAGCAGUGAAAUGCGUAGAUAUGCGGAGGAACACCGAUGGCGAAGGCAAUCCCCUGGGCCUGCACUGACGCUCAUGCACGAAAGCGUGGGGAGCAAACAGG
rnacentral:rRNA from 1 species